rnacentral:rRNA from 1 species
CUGGCUCAGGACGAACGCUGGCGGCGUGCCUAACACAUGCAAGUCGAGCGAGAAAUUGCUUAAUGAAUCUUCGGACGAUUUAAGUAAUGGAAAGCGGCGGACGGGUGAGUAACGCGUGAGCAACCUGCCUAUCACAGGGGGAUAACACAUCGAAAGAUGUGCUAAUACCGCAUGAUGUGUUUUUAUCGCAUGGUAGAAACAUCAAAGGAGUAAUCCGGUGAUAGAUGGGCUCGCGUCCCAUUAGCUAGUUGGUAGAGUAGAAGCCUACCAAGGCGACGAUGGGUAGCCGACCUGAGAGGGUGAUCGGCCACAUUGGGACUGAGACACGGCCCAGACUCCUACGGGAGGCAGCAGUGGGGAAUAUUGCGCAAUGGGGGAAACCCUGACGCAGCAACGCCGCGUGAAGGAAGAAGGCUUUCGGGUCGUAAACUUUUGUCAUCUGGGAAGAAGAAUGACGGUACCAGAGGAGGAAGCCACGGCUAACUACGUGCCAGCAGCCGCGGUAAUACGUAGGUGGCGAGCGUUGUCCGGAAUUACUGGGUGUAAAGGGUGCGUAGGCGGGUAUGCAAGUCAGAUGUGAAAGACCGGGGCUCAACCCCGGGGCGGCAUUUGAAACUGUAUAUCUUGAGUGCAGGAGAGGAAAGCGGAAUUCCUAGUGUAGCGGUGAAAUGCGUAGAGAUUAGGAAGAACACCAGUGGCGAAGGCGGCUUUCUGGACUGUAACUGACGCUGAGGCACGAAAGCGUGGGGAGCGAACAGGAUUAGAUACCCUGGUAGUCUACGCCGUAAACGAUGGAUACUAGGUGUAGGAGGUAUCGACCCCUUCUGUGCCGGAGUUAACACAAUAAGUAUCCCACCUGGGGAGUACGAUCGCAAGAUUGAAACUCAAAGGAAUUGACGGGGGCCCGCACAAGCAGUGGAGUAUGUGGUUUAAUUCGAAGCAACGCGAAGAACCUUACCAGGGUUUGACAUCCCUCUGACGAUACUAGAGAUAGUAUUUUCCUUUUGGACAGAGGUGACAGGUGGUGCAUGGUUGUCGUCAGCUCGUGUCGUGAGAUGUUGGGUUAAGUCCCGCAACGAGCGCAACCCUUAUUGUUAGUUGCCAGCAUGUAAGAUGGGCACUCUAGCGAGACUGCCGGCGACAAGUCGGAGGAAGGUGGGGACGACGUCAAAUCAUCAUGCCCCUUAUAUCCUGGGCUACACACGUACUACAAUGGCUACAACAGAGGGAAGCGAAGCAGCGAUGUGGAGCCAAUCCCCAAAAGUAGUCCCAGUUCGGAUUGUAGGCUGCAACUCGCCUACAUGAAGUCGGAAUUGCUAGUAAUCGCGGAUCAGCAUGCCGCGGUGAUACGUUCCCGGGCCUUGUACACACCGCCCGUCACACCAUGAGAGCCGGUAACACCCGAAGCCUGUGAGCGAACCUAAUGGAUGCAGCAGUCGAAGGUGGGGCUGGUGAUUAGGGUGAAGU